GAUCCUCCCCCCCCCUUGGAUGGGGUGAAUUAUUGCGGUGUUUUUUUCCUCCUCCCGGGGGCAACCACCCUAAAAAAAGGGGUUGUUUGGACAGCAUUCUUCCUGCUCCCCGCCCUCCCGCCCCCGGGCGGGUCGGCGCCCGCCGGAGGAUAACCAAACUCUGAUUUAACGACGUUUCUUCUGAGUGGUACAAGCAAAUAAUCAAAACUUUUAACAACGGAUCUCUUGGUUCUGGCAUCGAUGAAGAACGCAGCGAAAUGCGAUAAGUAAUGUGAAUUGCAGAAUUCAGUGAAUCAUCGAAUCUUUGAACGCACAUUGCGCCCGCCAGCAUUCUGGCGGGCAUGCCUGUUCGAGCGUCAUUUCAACCCUCAAGCUCUGCUUGGUGUUGGGGCCCUACAGCUGAUGUAGGCCCUCAAAGGUAGUGGCGGACCCUCCCGGAGCCUCCUUUGCGUAGUAACUUUACGUCUCGCACUGGGAUCCGGAGGGACUCUUGCCGUAAAACCCCCAAUUUUCCAAAGGGGACGCUCGGAUCAGGCAGGUCAUGUGCGCGCUGAAGUUCAGG
rnacentral:rRNA from 1 species